rnacentral:rRNA from 1 species
GUGUGAGGAAAGAAGCUUGCUUGGACUAAACUUUCGUAACCUAGUGGCGGACGGGUGAGUAACGCGUGGGUAACCUGCCGUAUGCCGGGGGACAACAGUUGGAAACGACUGCUAAAAAUCCGCAUAAGCGCACAGAACCGCAUGGUUCAGUGUGAAAAACUCCGGUGGCAUACGAUGGACCCGCGUCUGAUUAGCCAGUUGGCGGUGUAACGGACCACCAAAGCGACGAUCAGUAGCCGGCCUGAGAGGGUGAACGGCCACAUUGGGACUGAGACACGGCCCAAACUCCUACGGGAGGCAGCAGUGGGGAAUAUUAGACAAUGGGGGAAACCCUGAUCCAGCCGACGCCGCGUGAGUGAAGAAGUAUUUCGGUAUGUAAAGCUCUAUCAGCAGGAAAGAAAAUGACGGUACCUGACUAAGAAGCCCCGGCUAACUACGUGCCAGCAGCUGC